rnacentral:lncRNA from 1 species
AGAAACAUUUUUAUUAUUUAUUUUUCUUUGUUACAAAAGGACUAAGUGGUUCUGAAAGCCAAGGCAGAGUUCAUGUGUCUGGGCUGACAUUCCCAUGGCCUAUGAGCACUGAGCAGCCACAGGCUUUUCCAAGGAAGGCCCAAGGCCAUCACAUCCCCAUCUACAUCUACAAUACUUGAAUGUAUUUACAUGUGUUGUUCUUUAAAAAGGAUUACACAUUUUAUUCUUUAAAAAUCUAAAAAAUGAUGGAGAAAAGGAACACAGUUUAUCUUACACAUUUGCAGGAUAUACAAGGGUAACUUGUCAGAGGAGAACACCCUCCUAUUAGCUUCAAACAACCCAGGAAAUCAGAUCACCCAACACUGCAGACCACCGCCACAGUCCUGUGCUCGUUUCCUGGUAACACUGUCUGGGCAUGCAGCCUCUGAGUGCUGACUGGACAACAGCAACUGGUCCUUCUCAUUGACAAGGAAACAUAAAAUAAGGCACAUACAUUGCAAGAAUCAAAACCUGUGGCUCAGGACAAGCCAGCAUGUGAGGAGCAGGGAAGUGAGUUAGCUACUUCUUCAGGAAAGUUAUGAAAACCAAAAACCAUUUAAUGCAGACAUUAACCAAGAGUGCCAUGCAUGAACCUGUACGCAGACAUUAACCAAGAGUGCCAUGCAUGAGCCUGUCCUUCUCAUUAAAAGCAGCUGUGACACAAGAGCCAAAGCUGUUUCCCUGAAUACAGCAGCCACGAAAUGAAGAGAGGCUGCUGACUCUGGGUGGGUUUUUGACAGGAAACACCAAGCCUGCAGAGAUCUCAGGUCCCACGGGAUAGUUUUAGUGACCAAAUGAUGCUUCCUGAACUAUCAUGACAGAUUGUUGAAAUCUAGGGAUAGAACCCUUUCACCUUCCUUUUUUUUUUUUAACCUGUGUCCUGAAAUCUUCAUAUUGAGAAAGGUAAGAUAUUUUAAGUGGAAACAUCAAUUCCAUAAAUCUAAAGGCAACCACUUAGAAAAUAAGAAUGAAAAUAAACAAUUAAAAAAAGAAAACACCGAGUCAAAAGCAGAAGGUCAGGAGGCAGGGGUGCUGGCUCUGUGCACUGACGGUCUCCUAGGAGAGGCUGCCAAUAAAGGAAGUCACUGCACUAGAGAACUUCAAGGUCACAUGCAAGGACUCCACCCAGAAAGGUCUCUGCUGCAGGAGGCAAUGGCUAUGACCAGGAAUCAAGCUCACUCUUCUUGCUGAGGAAGGAGGAGAAUCCUGAAUCCCUGCUUUGAAAUCAAAAGUAAUAAAGAGACUGGACCAAAAAUUCGGGUGUGCCAGGUCAGACCCAGACCUGAGACCUAAAAACUAAAAAGACUUUUGACAAAUGAAAUUCAGAUAGUCCAUCACCC